UGGUACAAAAAGUACCUCAUUACCCCAAAAUAUACCUGGAAAAUCCCUGCUUUUUUUAAUCUACCAUAAUGGGAAUGAAGUACCUUCCAUUGACUUUUAAAUACCAUUGCAUAUGAAAAUACUAAUCAAACAGUACAAUAAUAUUGCCGCAUGUGUAGCUUAUUCGGUCUACUUAUUAGCAGCUACUGAGACAUAGUUUAUGGCGUAGAGCGGUUAGUUAUAUAUGCAUGAGAGGAACAUGGAAAGUUAUGGUUUAUGUGAAUAGAUGCCAUUGAACAGGCCGCUAGAAGAUCCUUCUCUGCCAGCAGGGGUUAAAUAAGCUGUCAUUGAUGAAAUUCAUGUGUAUAUACAUUCAUGACCAGUAAAUUACAUAUCAUAUGAACAUGCAGCACUAGGACCGAAGACUCUACAGUGAAUACUAAUGAAUACUUGUGCCACUUUUAGACACUAGAAAGAGAGACUUCAUUUCUGUGGAAUAUUCUCAGGUUGUUAGUGUUAAAAUUAUGACUAAUGUCUGUCAUUGUAGGAAUGAGAUGAUGUCAGAGCAGCAGUGACUGAUGAAGAUGAGAAGUUAAUUACGAGAAAGAGAUUUUUGGUCAAAUAUAAGAAAUCUAUAAGACUGCUGAGGACAUAACGCAAGUUGAGGUGUGAUUUGUGUUGAGUUAAAGCCAUCACGCCUCAAACCACAGUGAUUUUUAAUCAGCUUAAUUGUUUGUAAGUUCGUAAGUAGUUGUGUGUUUUCAUUUUAGAUGCAUUCAUAUGCAAAAAGUGUUGAGUACGAUAUAUAUGCAUAAUUGAGAUUAAACUAGAAUUGACCUACAUGCAGUAGCUUAACUGGUUUUGUGUUUUUCGUAUCACUCCUCGCUCUUUCCUCUCACAUGAUAAAAUUAUUUUAGUGCAAAUCAAUAUUUCUUUUUGGUAUGAAGCCAUGUUAUAAGUAGGAUAAUGUGAAGUCAGCUGGUCAUUAUCGCAAAAUAAAGAGCUCUCUGCAAUGUUUUGUGAUUUAAGGCAUAUUGUUGGCUUUUACACUGAUGUAAAGCUCUUUCUUUUCCACAUUCAUCUUGUUAAGGUUGUGUGUGUCCAUGCAUGCUUGAGAAGGUUUGGGAUCAGGAUGGACGUGGAGGAGACCGGAGCAGGUCAGGUGGAGACAGCGGCCCCAGAGGAGGAGGCACCAGCUCCCAAACGUGGGAGAGGACGACCCCGCAAACCACAACAGGAGCCUGUUGAAGCUUCUGCUCCCAGGAGGCCGAGAGGAAGGCCAAGAGGCAGUAAAAAUAAAGGCCAGCGGGUCACAGCCAAAGUAGAGCCACCUAGAGAACGGAGACCACGAGGUAGACCAAGAAAAUGGCCUCAGAAGACCAUUCAUCAAGAAGAACAGCAGCCUCAUCCUGCGGUUCAAGGGGCGCAGUCAACAGAGGAGCCGCCCAUUCAGACUCCGCCUGCUGCGUUACCAUCGCAGGAGAGCGACUAAAACUACCUCAGUGAUGACUUUGUUACUACGUUGGGGGUAAUUCUCCAUCUCAGCUGCCUCCAUGUACACUGUAAAAAGUGAAAAUGUGCCAGUGCUCAGAUCACGCCCCAAACUUUCAGGAAAGAUCAGACUACAUUUUUUCAAAAGUGACCCUAAAAUCUGUGUACUACCAACACAAGCCUUUAUGAUGAACACCUUUCUGCAAGUUAGACUGAACUGGAAGUAAUAUCUUCUCUUUUUGUUCAUUAUUUGGAUUCUUAAAGGAAUAGUUCACUCGAAAAUGGAAAAUUGCUGAAAAUGCAUUUACUCUCAGGCCAUCCAAGAUGUAGAUUCUUUAUCAGAACAGAUUUGGAGAAAUGUAGAAUUCCAUCACUUGCUCACCAGUGGAUCCUCUGCAGUGAAUGGGUGCCGUCAGAAUGAGAGUCCAAACAGCUGAUAAAAACAUUGCAAGUAAUCCAUACGACUCCCAUCAAUUAACAUCCUGUGAAGUAAAAAAUCUGUGUUUGUAAGAAACAAAUCCAUCAUUAAGAUGUUUUUAACUUCAGAUGUUGCUUCUGGCUCAAAUACAAGUCAGUAGUCCAUAACAAAGCCUGAGGGUGAGCACAUUUUCAGCAAAUUUUCACUUUCGGGUGAACUAUUCCUGCAGUCAACUAGAAAUCAAAUUUGAACUUAAAACAUAUUUUAUUGUGCGCAGUUUGGCAUCCAGAAACUGAAGUAUGCCUUAUUCUUAUAAAAACAGGACUCCAAAAUAACAAGAAAAAAACAUUUCUAUAAUGUUCAAGAUCUUGGGAUUAAAAAGGAAUUUAAAACUCCAAAGAUAAUAAAAUGUAGAAGCUGUAAUCA
ensembl:lncRNA